CUUUUUUUUUUUGUAACACUAUGGUCCUUUAUUAUUUUUUAUUUGUAAUAUUUAGGUCCUUUAUUUUUUAUAAAUAAAUAAGAUAAGGACCAAAUUGUUACAAAAAAAAAGGAUUAAAGCGUUACAAAUAAAAAAAAUAAAGGACCUAAAUGUUACAAAUAAAAGAUAAAGUACCAAAAUGUUACAAAAGAAUAAGAUAAAGAAUUUGCGGUGUAAUUUUGCCUAAAUUAAACCACUUUUUGAAAUGACAUAUGCUAACAUCUAUCCCAAGAGCAUACAAUAAACAACUUAAUUUAUAAAUAUUUUUCUUGAAAGUUGUUCAUUCAACUUUUCAAAAGUCAAAAUUAUUAUAUGUUUCAUUGUAUUAAUUCUACUUUUGAGUUUCUUAACAUGUACUCCCUCCGUCCCAAAUUAUAAGAGAAAAUUGGUCAAAGAAAGUUGAUGUAUUUGGUUAAAAAUUUGGAUUAAAUACAUCAAUUUUGUUUGAUCAAUUUUCCCUUAUAUUUUGAGACGGAGGGAGUACCAUUAAGACAGACUCUCUUCAUCCCAAAAUAUAAGUAAAAAUAGGCAGUUAAUAUAUAUGGUCUAAAUUUUAAACAAAAUACAUCAAUUUUUGUUGACUAAUUUUUAGUUAUAUUUUGAGACCGAUCAAAUACAUUAACAAGACCCUUUCCAAUAUAUGUGCAUGUCAAAAAAGUCAACGGUAUGUAUCAACUCUUCCAUGCAUCAAAUUGAAGAACUAAUUAAAGAUGAUUUCAAAGAAUCACAACAAAAGAAAACCAAAGGAGUAUAUAUACAUAUAAAUAAUUACCUGUGUGAUAGAUUAAAGUUCCCCAUGUUGUAUGGGGUGAGCAGGGGUAUUGUUGUCUCUCCACCCUCGACUACUUCGUUGCCUUCUCCUUUCUCCCUAUGAUAAAUAAAUUACUUAUCCCUAUGAAGUAAGAGAUAGCAAGGAACUAAAUAAGGUAAAAAGAAUUAGACCUUUUGUAAUCUAUUUUUUAAAAUAUAAAGAAUAUUCUUUUCAAUUCAAAACUUAUGUUUUUUUAUUUUUAUUUGCUUAACUAACUCUUUUAAACAAUACUAUACCACUGGAAUAUUUUUAUGGCAUUCCAUUUAUUGGUGGGUUUUUUUUUAUAAGCUCCAUUUAUUGGUGGUGAGUCUUGUCGUGGGUGAUCAAGUCAAUGCUAUUAUUUUAAUUUUAUGCAUCUACAUUAAAAAAUCAUCAAACAAUAAAUAAAAAUAGUUCAUUCGUUAAAAAAAAUAUAAAUAAAAAUAUUUCCAGCGUAUGCUCUUUUUAUUUUUUUAAUUUGGGUCACCUUUUUAAUUAUUAUUCUAAGUCAGUUGAGUGCAUCAAGCAUGCUAAUGUAUAAUUUUGACGAUUAAUAUUUUUAAUUGUAUAAUAAUAAACAUUAUAAAAAUAUGAUAUUUAAAAAAUACUCAUAGAGAUUAAUCCAACAUCAUCUUAUAUGCUAAGAUUUGUUUUUUUACUUAUUAGUAGAAAAAAUAAGGUGAAAGGAAAAUAUGUGAAUAUAGUGCAUAUAGUCAAAAUGACUCAUUCAUUUUGGGACGAAGGGAGUAUAGUAAUUAAAAUUUUACUUUUGUAUUCUAAAAUGAAUAAAUUGGAUAUUUGGCAUUUGAAUCCUAAUUUUUACAUUUAAAAUGUAAUAUUCCUAUCAACUUAACUAUGACUUUUGUUAACAACUUUUGAAUUAUUUCUACAUUUAAUUUUUUUUGGGUCAAGUAGAAAUUCCGCUCUUUAAAGUGGAUAAGUGGAAUGACCUUUAAGUAUCUUUCUUUUCUACAUAUAUAAUAUAAUGUAUUUGUCAACCGAGCUAGGCUCACAAAAUCAUUUAACUAUGGCUCUGUUUGGCAAAAUUAAGCUAUAAACUAGCUUAUAGCUGAUAGCUGAAAAACUACCUGAUUAAAAUUAAAGUGUUUGAUAAAAUUAAUUUUUAAAAUGAUUGAUAAAUAUAAAAAAACAUAAAAGAACAUAUAUAGUGGAUAGUUUUUCUCUUUAGUGUGGGUAAUUUUUAUUUUAUAAAAAAUAAUAAAAUAAAAUUAAAUGUUAGAAAAGGAAAAAAUUAUAAAAAAAACUAUAAGAUCAAAUGCUACUUGAAAUAACAUCUAAAAAAAAUAUAAAUUAAUGAGUUGUUUUUUUACCAAACACAUUUAUUUUUUUCGAACAAGCUUGUAAGUUAAUCCAAUACUAAGCUAUGUUAAGCUAUGUCUAUGUGAAUAAUAAUGUGUUGCUUCGAUCAUUUUUCUGCAUCUCGGUAUGCAACUGCAUAGACUAAUCCCCUCGAGGUAACUGAGAUCCAUGCAAGAGAUUGACCUCUCUCAUCAAAUAUUUCUCCAUACACACCUGUCGGAGAUUAAAUCCAGGAUCAAAUGGUUAAGGGACUUAAAUAUCUACCACUUAUCUACCACUUGUAUCACCGAGUAUUAUAUUAUAUUGUAAUACUAUAUAAAAUGAAAAUAAAAAAGUAAUUUUGAGGCGUCUCUGACUCUGUUGUUGUCCUGCGCUCAUGAUUAUCGCAAACAACAACCUUAGCUUUCAUUUUCCAUUGAUUGUUGACGGCGCAACAUUUCUUGCCACAAUAUCUACCUUCCUCCUUAUCUUUCCAAUUUCAAUCUCAAUCUUCUUCAAUAACCUAUUUACUGCAUCAUUCAUGACCCAUCAACGUUUCCACCCUAUCUGAUACCCCCACCUUAUUCAUUCAUUCAUGGAAACUGGACGAAACGAAACACCCUUUUUGGGUUUUCGUUUUGUCUCCAAAUUUUUAUUUUGCGCCAUUUCUGGAACUCUCACUGCAUGUUUUGCCCUUGGUAUUUUCUAAUUUCCUUAUGCUAUAUAUUCCUUCAUUUCAUUCUUCGGGUUUUAAUCUUUUUAACAUUUUUGGGUUGUCCUAAAGUUUCAAACUUUAUUAAAAUUUACCUUUAUAUUGGUGUUUGCUGUUAGGUAGAAAUAUAGCUAGAAUAUUUUUAUUUUUUCGGUGCUGAGGGGGCCAUGGUAAUCUGGAGUUUGGCUUAACUAAAGCUGGCCAAUAAUUGUUCCUCUCAUGAAUUGAACUCGGGUUCUCUAGAAUGAUUCGUUUUUAGGGGGAGCUCAUUAACCACUUGAGCACAAUUACCUGGUUUAUUUGUUAGUUUUUUUUAAUUCUGAAACUUAAACAUGAAAAAUUAACUGUUUGCACAAAUCAAAUUUAUGGAGUCUUUUUUUUCCAUGGCUUGAAUUGUUUGUAGUAGAAUUUAUGUUGUAGAUGCUUUUGUUUGUUUAUAAAAGUUUGAGAAUUUUUGGGGUGUCGAAUGUUUUUUACAUAGUCAAUAGCCAUUUUUUUGAGUGUUGUUUUGAGGCGUGUUUUUGUUGGCGAGAUCUCAUGGAUUGUGUUUUUCAAUUGCAGCUGGGGCCCUCACAGGAGCUAUAGCUGGUGCUUUAGCAGCUAAGGCUACAAAGAGUGGUUUUCUCCGGGGAGUUUCAUUGGGUGCCAUUGCCGGGGCUAUACUCUCUGUGGAGGUCUUGGAAGCUUCUCGUGCGUAUUGGUGUAUGGAGCAAACCGGUGCACGUGGCGCAUCAUCUAUGGUUGGUGAUCGUUAUGAUCUUGAUUUACAUUUAGCUUGAUUCUUUUAUGAGUACAAUAAUCUGUAGCUUGCAAAAUUGAUAUGGUUUAGCUUGAAAUGCAUAGAUAUGGGAGAUUUUAUUACAUGCACUUGCUUGUGCUUGUCCGUCUGAAGAGUGUUUUUUGAGUGGCCAUUUUAAUUCAUAGUUUUAAACCAAUUUUCUAACAUUUAAAUCCAGGCAGAUUUCAUAGAAGAACUUGUUCGUGGAAGGCUUGUAGAAGAAUCGCUAACACCUGCUAUUUUAACCGCAUACAAUUUGCAAGUAAUAACCUUUUCUAUAUCUCCCCCAAAUUUUGUUGUCUUUUAAAAGCAAUAGCUUUGUGUGUCUUUUGAUUCAUAUAAUAGUCUAGUUGCGAUGUUGAAAUCCGAGUUGGCAGUAACAAAAGCAGUUGGAUAUGGCCGAUUUGAGAUGGGCAACUCAUCUGGUUACCAACUUUGCAUAUAAGAUCCACAAAUAAUGCCACUGGUUUUUCCUUUAUAGUGUGAAAGCCUGUAAAAUGCGAACUUUGCUUUUCUGCUCAUGUCUAAUUUCAUGAACAUCUGUUGAAAAAACCUCAGAAAUUAGCCUCAUUUCUUUCAUUGCACCUGGAAAUGUUUUUGUUGCCAGUUUGAUCAACUUGCGCCUUUUGGUGAUUGAACAACAUGCUUGUUUACCCUAUAUCAUAUUUGAAUUCUGAAGCUAAAAAAGCGGAAGUUUUUACUAUUUAUUUUGUAAACAAAACUUCAAAAGUAAUAGGAAUGCUAACCAGAGAACAUGAAAUUGAAAACAAAGAUGAGUAUUUAUCCAUACAAAUAUAAAACACGGUAAGGCAAAAACUAGAGAGACACCCCAAAGCUUGUUUUGUAAAGGUUAUUGAAAAUCUAUGUUGAUGAAUACACCGGUGAUGCAUUUGUACAGUAUUAUCUUUAACCUUUUUAUGUAUUUUUGGAAACAUAUGUUGAUGUCCAUUUCUAAUUGUUUUUUUAUGUUAUUAAUGACAAUGAUUUCAUGCAUCUCAUUCUAGUUUGUUCUCGUUUAUUUUUAUAACUCCAAAGCAGACCAUUUUAAGAUUUGUUAUCAUGCAGCUAAAAUGAACUUUUUAAAAUGUUUGCUGUGUUGACUGUAUUGUACUUCCAUAUGGUUAUUAUUAGUAUUGCAUCCAUAAUUUCACAGUUUUAGAAGUCAUCUGUGUAUCAUCUGCUGUAAUUUCAUUAUUUUGUCAUUUUCAGCACAAUAUAUUGUUUAUAACGUAUUAUUACCAUUUGUUUUAGUUUGAACAGGUUGGAAUUGCUAAUAACGCAGGCUAUGAUGAGUUUCAUGAUGUUCAUAGCUUAGCAGCAUCCAGAGGAUUGUCAGGUGAUUCGUUGGAUAAGCUACCGCACCAUAUGAUUUUGAAGGACAUGAAGGCAGAGGAUACUUUCUGCGCAAUAUGUUUGCAGGUGAUUAUUAUUUUCAGUAUUUGUGAUAUAAUGACCACAAAGAUGCAUUGCUUGCACUGAUACUUACCACAAUUCUUCAUUAUCUCCAUUUGAGUUUUGGAUGAUAGUGUUAAUGUAAUCAUUGAGAAAUAUAAUUUGCAGGAUAUUGAAGUAGGUGAAAUCGCAAGAAGCUUACCUCGUUGUGAUCAUACAUUUCACUUGAUAUGCGUGGACAAGUGGCUUGUCAAGAACGAUUCGUGUCCUAUUUGCAGACAGAAUGUAUAGUUUUUUCAUUUGUAUUGUGUUUAUAUUUAUGGUCAGAUGUAUAUGUUGUAUUUAGUUGUUUAUAUGCAAACUUUUAUUUUUCCAGAAAGUGGGAGGAUGCAUUUGUAUAGUUGACAUUUUCAUUUUUAUACCAUUCUGUAAUCUAGUCCAAUAAUGUUUUGGUAGGAAAAACCAAAUGCUUAAUUGUCAUGUUUUGAAGAGAAAUUGAUAAUAAAGUUUGAAAAGCAGAUGAACCAUUUUCUCCUAUCUUAAAUUGUUUCUAGUAAAUAGGGAUUUAUGUCCUUGAAAUUGUAAUGGUCUAUCAAUUUAGUAUCUCCAAUUUACGAAUUAACAAUUUAGCCUCUUAAAUUAAAAAAAUAUCAAUCAAUUUAAUCUAUUCAUCCAUAUAUUUCUCUAGUGAGCAUUUGUCAAAACUACUCCAAUUUAUAACAGUGCAUAGUUCUUAAGUUUUGUGGCAAAAUUUGUGAAAAACACCAAUUUGAUUGAUACUUCCCAAAUUAAAUGACUAAACCGUGCUAUUUUGCAAAUUUGAGAAAAUAAAUUGAAUGAACUUUACAAUUUCUAACAGUGCCUACUUAAAUUAUGUUGUGUGUGCCUUAAAAUCUCAAGUUUUUCUGUUAGAAGAAGUUUCAGGUUCUGCCUCACGCGUGGGGCAAAUUGCAUUGCAUCACUCACUAGGCUCACAUAAUGGCAAUAUAUGGUGAUUUUUGUGAUUCUAGGUACUGGUCCAUGCAUGGGGCACAUAGUAUUGUACUUUCUUCCUGCAUGGAGCGCAGGUUCAUGAAAAUUUCUCAACGCACCCACCCACUUUCUCCCCCACUCCCCAAAAAAUUCGGAAAAUGUUUUCCGAAUUUUUUAUAGUGUAAAUUUUACACUAAAAAACAGUUCGGAACGUAUUUUCUGAAUUUUUUUAGAUGCGCUAGGGAGUGGGGGAGAAAUGUUGAGGUGCGUUGAGAAAUUUUUCAGGUUCAUGUGGGCGCAUGGACCAUAUUUGUUAUAAAAGCCUAUGAAGUUGACAAAAUUUGACUUUUUGUGUGAUAGGGUUUGGGAAAAACUUAGAUAGACAAAUAGAGGGAUUUAUUGGGUGAUCAAGAUCAAUGAGUGCACUUUGGAGUAGAUCUAAGGUUGGGAAACACAUAGAAAGCAACUUGGGAGUGAGCUUCAUUGUUCAUCUUUGUUCUUGAGUGAAGAGAGAAAAGUAGAGAACAAUUGUGAGCAUUUUUUUAGCACCUUUUGUUGAAUCUCUUAUUCAAGGGAAGAGAUUGAAAAAUGGGUAGAGAUUAGGUUUGUUUUUGGUGAACAAUCGUAGCUAAUUUCUUGUAAUUUAUUUCAUCUAUUGUAAACAUUGUUCAAAUAGUGAAUCAGAGAGCUGCUCUCUCCUCAGAUGCAAGUCAUUGUUGGACCGAACUGAGUAAUAAAUAUCUCAUGUGUUUUGUUCCUCUUUACUAUUUCUUGUUAUUUGCUUCGUUGGUUUAUGCUUACAUUUAGAUUGUUAGAAUUAAUAUUGCUUGAAAUGCUUAGUGUUGGUUGACAUUGAACUUUUGCUUCAUUGUUAUUGUUAGAUUGAACAAGAGGUUCAAAAUUCACAACAAACAAAUUAUUUGAUGUAACAGUUUUUAGUGUCAGUUUGAUAACAUUUAAAUAUUGGAAUCCAAGUUUCUAAACGUGCAACCCAAAAAUAAGAAACUCUGAUUAUGAAGUGGUCUCCAAGUUCUGAUAUUUUAGAGGAAAAUUUUAUGGUGAGUUAACAGAAAAACAAUGAAGUAGAAUAGUUAUUGAAACAACAAGCGAUUAACUUUGUAUGUUAAGCAAUGGAUUUCUGCUGUCAAAGGAAGAACUUGUCAAUAGAGCACUGAGAUUAAGGAAUGUUCUAUUGACACUCUUAGAGCUAGAGAUGAAACCAAAUGAUAUUAACUUGGAGAAAAAGAGAGAAAAGAAAAGUUAUAACUGGUUUUCUUUCAACCUUAUAUAAUGUCAAAAAACACAAAACUUCUUUACAGUAUGGUGGAACACAACCGAAAGUUACAAGCUAAUAGACAGUAGGAUUAUUAAAGAGGUUCUGAUAUUCCAAGAGAUUAUACACAAAUAUGCAUCACAGCAGAAGCCUUAAUUGGCUGAUUUCUAGUUUAUUCCACAGAGAAGCAAUUGCUGGCAGUGAUAGCAAGCCAUGUCAAAUUGGCCUGCUUAUGAAUAUUGUCUGUCAGGUUCAAACACAGUAAAAUCAACAGUAAGAAUUAGAUUGAGAUCAUGCUCGGGAUAAUAUUUUUAACAUUUAUUUUUUCCAGCAUCGCAAUUUUUCAUGCAACCAAGAGUAAGAUUUCUAUAAGUAUCGAGUAUUUAUCCGUCAUAUACAUGCGACAAUUGAGUUGCAAGUUUAACAAUAUAAUACAAUAAUAUUGAAACUAAAUUGCAAGCAAUCUCAGCAAUUAUUUUACUUGAUUAUUUUUGUAUGUUGAAAUGUCAAAAUUUAAUUGAGAAACCUUGAUGCUGCAAACAUGAAGCUUACAGUCGAUCGUAAAAUGGAAAGGAUACCACGGAGGUAUUUCACACAGCAACUGGCGCAGGUCUUUUGCUAGCUUUGAUUCCUCUUAUAGCUACAAGGGAAUUGAAACCAUGACAAAUAUCAGAAUCACAUUGAAUUUUCAUGUAUUACAAUGUAUGCCUCCGGCUCAAAAUUUCAAAAUAUUUUUUUAAAGGUACCUUCAGCAUAAUCUUUAGCUCCAAACACAGCGGAACCAGCAACCAGUGCAUUAGCUCCAGCCUCAAUCACCUGCCAAAUAACAUAAUACUGAAAAUUAGAUCCUACAACUCAAAUCGGUUCAGUACAUAGAACACUUGUUACAUAUCUAAACCAAAAAAAAAAAAACUUGUUACAUAUCAUUCUAAACUAUAAGUGAUGGAAGACAUGUGAUUAUAUGUAUACAGCACCUUGUAAGCAUUUGCCGGGGUAACUCCACCAUCCACUUCAAUCCAUGGAUUCACACCCUAGUGAGAGAAAGAGAGACUAUUUAAAGAUUAUGUAAGAAAUAAAAAUCGGUACAUACACAAACACAAAUUAUUGCAGCAUACCUUCUCCGCACACAAUUUUCUCAAAUCAGAAAUUUUCUUUACUUGACUCUCGAUAAAACUCUGGCCACCAAAGCCAGGGUUUACGGACAUAAUUAAGACCAAAUCAACCACUGCGAUCACCAUAAUAAGAUUAUAAGAUUUUAUUGUUUUUAAUUACUAGAAGAACCUCAAAAAAAAGUAACUCAACAGACAUUAGUCUGAAAUGAAUAACAAAAUUUAAAUUUAUACUCCUUUACUUUUCCAAUUUAUUUCCAAACAAACCUUUUCUAUUCUGUUUAUAAAAUACAGUUACCAGUAUUUUCAGAGACAGAAAAAACGAAGUAAAAAACACAGGCUCACCAUCAAGGACAUAUUCUAUUGCACUUAGUGGGGUACCAGGGUUUAGGACAACUCCAGCUUUAGCUCCCAGACUUUUCACCUAAAUCAAGAGAACAUAAUUAGAUACACAAAUAUAAGUUGAGUUAUCUGUUAUUAUACUUAAAGGCUGAGACAUUACUUAACUAUUAAACCUUACACAUCCUUACUGUGUUCUUGCUGUGUUCUUGACAAAAUUGU
rnacentral:lncRNA from 1 species